GCUGGGCGUGGUGGUUCACGCCUGUAAUCCCAGCACUUUGGGAGGCAGAGGUGGGCGGAUCACCUGAGGUCAGGAGUUCCAGACCAGCCUGGCCAACAUGGUGAAACCCCGUCUCUA
ensembl:misc_RNA Metazoa_SRP Metazoan signal recognition particle RNA